GGGGGCGUCCAGGCUUCGACUACGGGAUUGCGUUGCAGAGCAAGCAGGCCGUGGGUGAUUGAAUGGCCACGUAAAAAAUCAAUCAACAGUCAGCUGCCAAUAACAGCGACUACGCUCCGGUUGCCCUGGCCGCUUAAGCGGUUGGCGCAGUAACGCCGGAUGCGGCCCCCUCCAAGCAUGAUAAAGGGGUGUCCGUAUAAUCUAUCAUGCUCAGCCCACCCCCGGUCCCCGGACGGGGCGGGUGAAUCUUUCCCGGGGCGGGUUCAGGUGAGGUGGCCAUGUCCGACACCCUGAACCGGGAUGAAAAUCAUGGCUAAGCCUGAAGAAAACUCUGUUUCCGCCUGAUAGGACGCGGGUUCGAUUCCCGCCGCCUCCACUG
rnacentral:tmRNA from 1 species